UUAAUGUGCUUUCCCAUAAUUUUAAAGUUCCUUAGAGUUCACUUUCUCCCCCUUUCUCUAUCUCUCUUUCACAUUGGCACUUAAACCAACAUAUAUACACCAAAUAGGACAAGGUUGUUUGCCUGGAUGAGUGCCAUUUAAAGAUUCAGAAUCUGUGGUGAGAGAUCCUAGAAAAAGGAAAGCAAAUGGGGGUUUCGGAAGAACAUAUUGUUGAAAGUGGCAAGGUGCCAAUUGCUAGUGUAUCAAUGUUACAGAAGCAGAUAGUAAGAAGAUUGAUGGCCCAGCGUAAUGGUUUUGAACUUGAGCACAAGUUUGCAUGUAGUUAAAAUCAGUUUACAAGCGUAUUCUUCAGAAGUCUGCAGAAUAAGUGGGCAGAGAACAAGGAAUUGAAAGCAAAGAUAAAGGUAUUAAACCGGUGUUUGGCUUCAGUGGCUGCCGUCUAAACGGUGUAUGUGCAAGGAAUAUGCUUAAGGGUUCGUCUACAAAAUCAUUCAUUUUCGAAAAAUUCAAAAAAGAAUGUAGUGUCCUAGGUGUCUAGUUUGGAAAAUAACCUUUAUGGAUUAUGCUAAUUUGAGGUCUGAAUCCCAAAUGGCUACUUGACUAGAGAAAAAAUAUGUUCCUUUAGCUUCGCUGACGCAGACAUCGUUGGUGCUAUUUGUUUUUUCAAAUAGGCUUUCUCGUAUAUUUGGUAUAUUGGGAGUAAUCGUUGUUUGUUGGUUAGCGUAAACUAAUAUUAUUCUCCCUCUGUCUUUAUUUGUUUUAUAUGUAGCCUUAAAUUCUGUUUUUUUUUUAUUCUUUGUUUUAAUCUUUUCUUCUUCUUUUUUUUUAAUUUUAGAAUUUCUGUAUGGU